GAUAUAUCUAGAAGUUAAUAUUAAAACUAAAUUAAUAUUAAUCACUUUCUUAGAGUCAUGUAAUACCCAAUAUAAUAUUCAAAAACUGAACUAAUUUCAUGAUGUAGAGAUUUAAUUCAGAAACGAGUAAAUGCAUUAAAAGUUUAUCUCGAGUAUAUGUUACAUUCCCAGAUUCAGUAUAAAAGUAUUGCGAAUAAGGUACUGCGAAGAUGUUACCUCCACCGCUCUCAGCGCUUCGGAUUCCGUGUGCGCCGACUACGCGCGCAAAGCGCCUCUCGAGGAUGCUGGUUGUUUAUGCGUCCCGUGCACAGUUGGACCGCAGUCAGGCUUCGGCCUCGGUCCAAAAAGGAGUAAAGGAGGAGCUAAAGGAGCAAGGCGAAGAUCAUGCUUCCCCGAUAGCCGAUGUACGCGCAGUAGUGCGUAAAGCGAAGCAGUUUUCGCGCGAGUGUGUUCAGGCCUAUGGGGGAACGCGCGUGCCUGCCUGCGUGCGUGCGUGCGUGCGUACGUGCCUACGUACGCGAUCGCCAUGGUAUGCAUGCGCGAUGCCCGCCGCUGCAUACAACGAGGAGGAAUCCUCGGGCCCUUCGAACACUCCCUAUAGGGGCUGAUGCCUUGGUAAGGCCACGCAUCGUCCCCCAGGCCCUUUAUACCUUUUAUACUGAUGUCCUUGCCCAUAAAACAAAGCAGCCUGAAACACACCUCCUAAAUUGACUUACAAGGAAAUAAAACAUAUAUUUAAAUUAUUUGUUAUAUUUUAUCUUACUGAUUGUGCAUUGCCGGUCUUCAUUGAUGGUCUUGUAAAAGCACUCGCACUUUCAAAUAUCUAAAACACUCUCGAAUGAGAUAUAAUAUAUUUAUUAGUAGCGUUUCGUCUUCCGAAGAGACUACGUAGUAAAACUGAAAUUUGUAACAGAACUGAAUUCUCGAAAUAUCUUUGAGUUGAUAUAAAUAAUAUUAGGGCCAUAUUCUAUUUUUGUAAAAGACUAAAGUUCAUUUUCUCUUGUUUUUCCUUGAUUCUCACGUGAAACAUGAGAUUUGUAGAAUGGAUCAUUUGUAGAAAUAUCAAAGAACAGCGCAAUCGUUACAAAAAGAUCGACAAAUUGUGUAUUAAGCAACAUUUCGCAUGACACAGACUUUGGGUGGGCGAGCAAGCUACAAUGUGCAGACGUUACGUAAUUGUGCUUACGUAAAUUACUAUUAGGAGUCUCAGUGUACAAACGUCUAGCGAAUGAGCCGAUAAAUCACGCGAGUAGUCUUGUGCGUCGAACACAUGUUAUUAACCCGCACAAACACUUGUAAAUCUUAUAUAAUGUAUAUUACCGUCAUAUUUUCCCGCUUGCCAAGUUUUAUUAUAUUCUCGCUAUUAAAUUCUCGUGUUGACUUUGAAAAUCAAUCGUGAAAGAAUCCUGCGAAUACAUAUAUAUGUCUAUCUACUGUUAAUUCUCUAUAAUUAUUAGAAAUGUAGUCAUUUGAUAAUUAGUUAUAUAAGAUCUUUUUAUCAUAUUCAAUAAGGAAAAUUUAAAAAUAUAUAUUAUAAAGAAAAAUCUGCUCUAGAUUUAUCAAAGAAUUCGUCGUCAAAAUUCGUUGCGACAGAAAUUAAGUGUCUUGCACAAAGAUUAUGCAAACGUACUCACGAAUGUAUUUUUAGCUUAAAUAAAAAGAAAUAGGAACGAUCAAUUGUAUCAAAUUUGGUAUAAAUCUCAGUGUGUUUCUUUUAUAAUUUUUUCUUUUUAUAUGAAAGAAACGAGAUACGUUUCUCUCACCGAGACUCAACGGUUUCACUGGGGCCCAGAGUCAACGACGAUACUACUCCCACACCUCGACCUCCUAUGCGCUAUGCGACCCUGGUAAAAAUUCUCGUUCUCUAUUGUUCCACCCUAAUUAAUGUCCCCACUCGCGCUCGUGCACAAACGACAUUGGAGCACGCUCCUCCUUCUGUAGGACGCGAUCUCCCUGUGCUUUCAUACGGCCCUGCUACGUCGCGCUGUCACUUAUCCAAUAUCUGUAAACAAAAAAUGGUUAGCUCGUCAGAGAGAGUAAGAUGAAUGACUCGUACCGAUGCAUUCGUGCAACGUAAAUGCAUUGCGAAUUUAGAGAAGUGCCAGAAUAUGUUUUAGUAUACGCGAAUUGACGCUUACCCACCUGUAGAUAUCAAUCGAUAAUUCCCUCGUCAUCUAAUUAAUCUAUAAUUCUCCAUAUGACAGUGACGUCAUGAAAAGACAUAAUAUUGAAAAAGCAUGAAAUGUAAGAAAACAUCAAUACGAGUAUAUAUUCGCAUUAAGAAAAAUAAAUUUUUCUUAAGUAUAAAAAGUAGUAUAAAUAUUGCUAAUUUUGAAUAAUAACUUUAUAUUUUAACCAACCCUUGCUGCAAGAAUCUGCUUAGUUUUAAUAGCAGAUUCUUUGAUUGCAAUCAAGAUUUCUUCAAUCGCGAUAAAUGUUUACAAGUCGCAAACAAUUAAAAAUUGAAAACUUUGCACAAUUUAACAAAAGAAAGAUAGAUAUAAUGAACAAAUGAGAUAGUGUUAUAGUUCAUUUAACUUCAAGGUGAUUUUAUCGUGGACACUUACAUCGCGACAUGAAUACGGUUGUUUGCGAGCCGAUGACUUAACUUGCAAGCCGACAUCAUAUGGAAAUUCACGCGAUGGCCGGAGGUCGCGUUUUUUUAACACAAAAUGUCGCAUCGUGUACCAGGUUACUAUGUUGCGCGCCGAGUUCCGUUUACAAAUGUAACGCAACCGGCUUUUCGCCAAUACGCCUUCGUUGCAGCUUCUGUUUUCCUGUGUAAUUGCAAACUAUCGCUUGUUUACAGCAAAUUGUUGCAAUCUCUCAUACGUUGUAACAGCAAUUAAAAAACAUUUUAACGAUCGCGCACGGACGCGAUUCGCAUGAGUUUCGUUCACAAUUUUGCAAGACAACUCCUUUUCUCGAUUGAAGGUUAUUUCGUUGUUCUAUCUGUCUUGCAAUUUGCAAAUUUAAAAGAAACACUAUAAUAUUGUUAUUUUAUAAUUACAUACAAAUAACGAUACUCAUAAAGUAACAAAACUAUUUUUAAAUAUCUUGCAAAUACAACUUUUAUACGUGAUUUAAUAAAUCUUACGUAUAUUCUCUUUUAUCAUUUAAGAAGUUAUUUUUUACAAAUAUUGUCAAUUUGUUGCAUCUGCAUUACCAUAUAAAGAUACAUUAUUAUAUAAAUAGGAAAAAGAAUAAAUAAAA
rnacentral:lncRNA from 1 species